rnacentral:lncRNA from 1 species
UUUGUCCUUCGGCAACACCAGGGAGUGAUCACUUGAUAAGGAUGCAUCUGACGGGUGAACCCUCAGCUCCAACCAGCCUGAGAGGUAAGCAAUGCAGAUUGUAUAUUCCCGCCGGGACAUCGUCUAGUUUCAGACCUUCGACUGGGAUUAUGUCCUGACAGAACAAAGAAAGCAAAAUCAACCAAUGGUCCAAAUGCUAUGCGCUCUUUUUAGGUACAAGAAAAGGUUAUUUGAAAUAAAACAAGCACAUAUAAUUUGGAACCUAAUAUAUUAUGCUACACUUGUCAACAGUCAACACUGAACUGCUGACAUGUUUCCUGAGUUAUAUAGCAGUAAAGCUUCACAUGGAAAUCUUCUGUGCUGGAAUUGGGGAAGAAACAGAAUGAAAUAUUUUAGGUCAGGAAACUGCAGUAUCUAACCGGAUUUUUGAAGAAGACGACAUGGGCAGAGAUCAAGUGAUCAAAUGCUGCAACUGAGAGAUAGUCAACCCCUGCACAAUUGCCAAUAUCAGUAUGUCAAGUGUUAAUCAGUGCGCUGAGUAACAAAAGGCCACAGAAGAAACUGAAAGGCUGCACAGUGUACACAAUUUAAGGUUACUAGCACAUAUAUGUUAUGAACAGAUUGUGCAAAGAUUGCGGGAAACCAAAUUUUAUUCAACCAAUCAAAUAUCGCCAACUAUUUGGUACUGCAGUAACUCUAUGCUGUCAGGAAAUAAUUUCUUACCAACUAGCUUGAUGUCGGUGUUGUCAACCAACCACUGUGCACCAUCCUCUGUAAAUCCAACAUAACUAAGGUCACCUGCCUUCUUCCACAUCAGCUUCCUAUGAACCGUUUGCUUAGACGAUCAAUACAGUAUAAACCUCCAAGCAUGAUUGUGCUUAAAGAUAUUUUAAUGGUGUAACUCAUAACCCUACUAGAAGUCUAUGAUACUGCCCUGAGCAGGGAGUCAUACCUGUCAGUGUUCAGUGUCCUGAAUAGAACUCGGCGAACUCCUUUGGGGAUUUUUAGGGAUUCCAUUGCUUCAGCUGCAUGGAUUCAUUGGGGAUUAAUAUACUAUAUACAUGUAUUCUCUUUUCAUGGAACUAAAUUGCAGCAAAAUCACGCACAAGAUGUAUUUGAUACAUAAAACAUUAUCUGUAUACGGCACCAUAAUAGAUUAUACACGUUUAUCCCAUACCAUACUUAUAAAUCUUUACUAAAUAAUAAGAGCAACAGCUGUGAAAUGAGGCAAUUCAUCAGAUAAUUUGGUAGAGGAGCUAAGUCACUCAAAAUGAAAAGCAUGGUACCUGUUAUAUUUGUGUUCCUUGGAACAUCAACCAGUAAUGCAGGUCCUGUGUCCAGUAAGUAGGAAUCAAUCAGUAAGGCAAAUCAUUUACAACAUGAUCUAUACUCAAGUAUAACAUGCAAAAUUCUGCAAUCUCAGGCCAAGCGCAUGGCGACCCUCAUCCAACGCACUGGAAUGGUAGAUUCACAUAACCACAACACCGGAUUCACCGCGUAAGGCUCUGAGAAGUCUAACUCUACUCAUCAUGUGGGAGGUUUGGAAAUAACGGAAUGAGCGCAUCUUCAAUGCACAUGAGAGCUCUACAACGACGUUGCUGGCGAAAAUCAAGGAGGAGUCGUUAGCGUGGAUGCUGGCGGGGGCAAAAGACCUAGCGUUACUCGUAGCGCGAGAGUAGUCCUUGUCUUCUUGCAUGGCUAGCCGCUCGGCUGGCUGUUUGUU